rnacentral:misc_RNA from 1 species
UACGGAGACCUCGAGCGUUACUCGGAUUCACUGGGCGUAAAGGGUUCGUAGGUGGCCAAGUGUGUCGGGUGUGAAAUCCUGCGGCUUAACCGUAGAAUUGCGCCCGAAACUACUUGGCUAGAGACUCGGAGGGGUAAGCGGAAUUCCAGGUGUAGUGGUGAAAUGCGUAGAUAUCUGGAGGAACACCAACGGCGAAGGCAGCGUACUGGACGAGAUCUGGCACUGAGGAACGAAAGUAUGGGUAGCGAAAGGG